UAUAGGUAAAAAAAUUUUUAAAUAAUUUUGGAACAAAUUUUAUACUUAAAUAAAAAAAUAAAAUGUCAAUUGCUGAUCAAGAUGCUGAUUGGAAUGAAAUGUUAAAAAUUGCAAAGNNUUACAACAACAAGAAUAUUAUGAACUUUUACCAGAAUGGACAAAAUAUACUGCAGAUGAAUAUAAAUAUUUAAGACAAAAUAUUGGAUAUGCAAUUUUUGGUCCUCCAUCAGAAAAUAAAGAAAAUAAAAAUGUAUAUAUUGAAGAUAAAGAAAUAGGA